rnacentral:tRNA from 1 species
GCGGGAGUGGCGAAAACUGGUAGACGCACCAGAUUUAGGUUCUGGCACUUAAGCAAAGUAUGCGAGUUCAAAUCUCGCCUUCCGCA